GCCAUCAGUGCUGUGUGACCAUAUCAUUCAGCCCACCAAGAACCGGUGGACCAUUAUGGAAUCUGGUGGACCAUUAUGCAAUAGAAUUGUCUUCAACCUCAAUAUGAUGGAAAAAAACAUGGUAGAGAAGCAUGUGGGGCACUCUGGCUGCAUAAAUGAUGACAAUGAAAGGCACGGCAAUGAUUUUAAAAAAUGUGGAUAUGCAUAUUAGCCCAGGAAUUAAGGUAUUUGAUGGAAAUAGAGUGCAUGUGACCUGUUUUGACCAAUAAAAAUGCUUUUAUCUA